UUAUCACCUUAGUUACCCAAACCUAGCAUUAAAUUAGAAUCAGAAUGUGCCUCAGAGGGAAGGCCAGGCAUGAGGAAAAGAGCCAUUCACUUCGUUAAUUUCAAUUUAGUGUUGAACCAUUUCAAUCAAUGAUUUAUUAUUUUUGUUUAUAAAAUAUGUUGUAGUUCCCCAAAGAGAGCUCUUAAUCCUCUUAAGAAUGCACUAAACUCCUCCAUAUCUGUUAGGACUGUGGAUUUGGGGGUCCUCAGCAGUGAGAGAGAUUUGCCAUCAGUCUUGAUACAACAUGCAGAAGCUUGUCUGAAAAAGAAACCAAAUGGAGGCAAAGUAGCCAAGAGAUGAGAAAAGAGUACAGACCCUGAUGAUCUCAUUUGAUCCUUGGAUUCUCCCAUGAUGCCUCUUGGACUAUUCAGUUUUUAAAU
rnacentral:lncRNA from 1 species